rnacentral:rRNA from 1 species
AUACGUAGGGUGCGAGCGUUGUCCGGAAUUACUGGGCGUAAAGAGCUCGUAGGUGGUUUGUCGCGUCGUCUGUGAAAUUCCGGGGCUUAACUCCGGGCGUGCAGGCGAUACGGGCAUAACUUGAGUACUGUAGGUGAGACUGGAAUUACUGGUGUAGCGGUGAAAUGCGCAGAUAUCAGGAGGAACAACGGUGGCGAAGGGGGGUCUCUGGGCAGUAACUGACGCUGAGGAGCGAAAGCAUGGGUAGCGAACAGGAUUAGAUACCCUGGUAGUCCAUGCCGUAAACGGUGGGCGCUAGGUGUGGGGGUCUUCCACGACUUCUGUGCCGUAGCUAACGCAUUAAGCGCCCCGCCUGGGGAGUACGGCCGCAAGGCUAAAACUCAAAUGAAUUGACGGGG